UUAUUUCAAGAACGAGGAAGCUACUGCAUCUACUAUUGAUUCAGAAGGAUAGUUGAAGACUGGAGAUUUGUGUUACAUUGACGGUGAAGGUUUUGUCUUUGUUGUUGGUAGAUUAAAGGAGCUUAUCAAAUGCAAUGGUUAUCAGGUUGCUCCAGCUGAGCUUGAAGCAUUGUUACUUGCUCAUCCAGAGAUUGCUGAUGCAGCAGUAAUACCCAUCCCUGACUUGAAAGCUGGGCAAUAUCCAAUGGCAUAUAUCGUAAGAACAGCUGGAGGUAACUUAUCCGAAAGUGAAAUCAUGAGCUUCGUAGCAAAACAGGUAUCGCCGUACAAGAGGAUACGUAAGGUCACAUUUUUGGCUUCAAUCCCCAAAAAUCCCUCUGGCAAAAUUUUAAGAAGAGAACUUAUAAAGCUCACAAACUUGAAGCUCUAGCAAACCACUCUAUCUUACACUUCACCGUUAGUUAACUCAUUUAUUUGGUUAACCGAUUAUUUAUUUCUCUUACAUAAAUCUCUGUCAAAACUGAAUAUUGAUUUUGCUCAGCCUGUGAGUUCUCUCCUCUCCCUGUGUCGACGUGUUCCUCUUCUUGGUGUCUCUGUUUCUCAUAUCUGCUAUUGUUGAUUUUGUCUAGAAGCAGCAGGUCUAUUCUAAGUCGCUGCG